GGUGGUGGGGCCUGCCCAUCCUGCGAUGCCUGCCCUGGAAUGGUGGCUACGAGUCCUAACACUAGUCUCUUUGCUCAGCACCAUGUUGAGCCCUUAGCCAGGAGAAACUGCUUCCAAGCUCAAUGGCAGAAUCCAGUUUCUCGAGGUCGUUGCAUGUUUUCUAGCUGACGGUCCUUAGCUCGUGGAGGUGCCAAUCCUUGCACGUGACCCGUGCGUCCCAGAGUCAGCAAGGACUCAUGCAGUUGCUUUGGGUCCAGUAGGAUAAUCCAGGCCCAUAGCCUUAAUUCCCCUGCAAAGCCCGUUUUACGGUGCAGUGUAGAUACCCGCAGGUUCUGGGGAUUAGGAUGUGGACGUGGUGGGGAGGGGCAGUCUAUCUACCACUGAUUCGGACUGCCCCUCCCACCCCUGCAAGAUGCCACAUAUGCUGGGGUGAGAAACACAGGUAAAACGGCUGUAGUUUGCUACCGUUUAUAGUGAAAAGGCAAAGAAAAAAUGUGCAUAUCUUCUUGUAUAAGUUUAGAAUAAAUUUGAAGGGUACAUUAGAAACUGGAAGGGGGAAUUGAGUAGCUGACAGAUAUUUCACCAAAACUCCUUUUUUACGUUUUGAAUUUUUAGCCAUGUGAGUGUGCCCCUGUUCAGUGCCAGUGAUAAUUUUCAUAAUUUUAAAAAACAAUGAACUGAGUAAAUACUGGAAAUGGUUGAGUCUCCCUGUGGGAUAGGGAGAGUGAGCCCCCCCCCCCACACACACACACACAGAAGCAGCAUCUGCUCCUUGAUGCCUCAGGGACAGGCUCCUUCACUCAUUGCUCUCCCUCCUUGAAUCCCAUCUGUGCCAUCAUGCUUACCACCUGUGCCAGGUUACUCUUCCUGAAGUGUGUUUGUUCUCUUUCCUGAUGUGGAAAGGUGCCUCCCUUUCACCAGGCAGCCCAGGCCUCUUGUAGUCUGUGCCCCUGUGACCCGGCCUCUGAGCUCUGUCUGCACCUUGCUCCAUCUCACACCUGCCUUCUUCCACUUUUCUAGCCUGGCGUGGCCCAGCCCCUCUCUUGGCCUGGUUUAAAUGCUCCUCCACCCCAGGACUUGGCCCGUUCCCCGCUGCCUCUGCCCAGAGCAUUUGCCCACCUCACUGAUCCAUUUGCUAUGAUUUGCCUUCCCACUGAGGUCCGUGAGGGCGAUAGUCACUGCUGUAUCUUCACACUGUGUCCUGAACCGACCCUGGCAUAUGGUGGGUGUUUGGGAAACACUGAAAACACGUGUCCAACAGGAAAAAUCAAGUCCAUAGUUUGGCAGUCAGUGACCAAAAUGGGCUUCUGCCAACAUUUCCUACCUUGUCUUCUCCAACCCUGAAAAGCAGAGGGGUCAGUGUACCUGUUGAUGGUCCAGUGCGAAUAAGGGGCCAGGUGGUGUCGCCCCACUCCCAGGUGGGCCACUGAGCAGGGCAUAUUGCAUUUGCACAGAGACUGGGCGGUGGGAGUGGUGGGGGGAAUCACUAACGGUGAUGUGACUUACCAUGUGUCCAGGUGGGAAUGUUCAGUCUUCCUGCCCAGAGGGAGCAGUUAGAAACAGAUAAGUCCAAGUUUGGGAGUCUUCACAGGACAGGGGUUGUUGAUGCCUCAGACUGGACAAAUUAACCAAGGAAGUUGGUAUAGAUGCAGAAGCGAACCCUGGUGCAACAUAAAGAGGGAGAUGAGGGAGCUGCUGGUGCAGUGGGAGGACAACCCAGGAGGGGAGAGACAAGGCUGUCUACUGUGGAUGUUGCCAGAAAGGCACAGCUCAGACGGAACUGACCACUAGAAAGGCACCAUAAUGACCACUUGCCUGUCUGUGGCAUAGACUGCCCCUAACUGUCCAGCCUCUGGACCUGCUGCUCCCCCUAUGAGUGGGGCUGGUGGUCCACCUUGGGGCCCCUGUGACAUGGAUUAGGGUAGAGGGGUGGGCCCUGUGGGACUGCUCUCCUGUCAUGGCAGGCCUGGGCCCUUCCAGGAGGUGCCCGUAGGGCACUGUGCUCGUUUUGUCUUAGGGUCAGCAUCUCACCCCUUCCCACCUGUGGCUCUGGCUCUGCAUAAGUCUGGAUCUUAUGGCUGGCUGAGCCUCCCCUUGGGUCCAGGAACAGGGAAUGUGGCGACAGUCCCUGAGACACAGCACUAGUUUCCAGGUCCCAGUCAUGCCCAGCCUCAGAGCUCAGCCCAAAGAGGCCUACAUGGAGCCCUCAGCUCCUGGACCAUCCCCUGGGAGCGCUGCAGGCCAGGCCCCUACGAGUGGUGCUCCCACCGUGACCCACCCUGCGUCUGUACUCCAUGGUCCUCUCUGCUGCAGCGACACUGAGCUGGGAACCACUGCACCUCACCAUCAGAAGCCAGAUUGUAACGCCAGGAUUGAGGGCAAGGAGUUUCUUCAGAAGGAAAAGAUUUCUGAAGAUUUGGAAUCAGAAGUAGAAACAUCAAAAAAUGAUACCAGUGGUUUUUCCCAGGUGCCUGAGCUUGGGGAACUCUGUGAUGACCUAUUAGGAACAAACUGGGGAGUACCUGGCGACACGAGACGGAUACAAUCCCUCUGCCAGGAGGAGGACAUCACACCAGUGGCAGUGCUUUGUAAGAGCCCCUUAGUGGGGAGGGAGCUGGACUGUGAGGAUUUUGAGACAAGCUUCAGUCUGAGCCCACACACAGUGGCAUACCAGGAAACCACUGUGGAAGAGAGGCCACAGGCGUAUAUGUGUGGUCCAACCCUCCAACACAGCAGGGACCUAAGUAGCCAUGAGGGGCUUCACUCAGCUGAAAGCCCCUUCAUAUGUAGCGAGUGUGGGAAGACCUUCAGAGGAAACCCUGAGCUCAUUCGGCAUCGGAUUGUCCACUCUGGACAGAAGUCUUUCCUGUGUGAUGAGUGCAGAAAGGCCUUCCGCCAGGACUUGGUUCUUACAAGUCACCAGAGGGCUCGUGUGAGCGAUAAACCCUACGUGUGCCAUGAAUGUGGGAAGGCCUUCCGUGUGCACUCAGACCUCGUUAAGCAUCAGGGCACCCACAGCGCAGAGAAGACUUGCAUCUGUGCCGAGUGCGGAAAGGCCUUCCGUCAGAACGCCAGCCUUAAGAAACACCAGAAGUGUCACAUGAGCCAGAAGCCCUAUGAGUGCAGUGACUGUGGGAAAGCCUUCCGGCGGAGCUCCAACCUCAUCCAGCAUCAGAGAAUUCAUUCUGGGGAGAAGCCGUACGUGUGCAGUGAUUGUGGGAAGGCCUUCAGACGGAGCUCGAACCUCAUCAAACACCACCGGAUCCACACAGGCGAGAAACCUUUCGAGUGUAAUGCGUGUGGGAAGGCCUUCAGCCAGAGCUCACACCUGCGGAAACACCAGCGGGUGCACACAGGCGAGAGACCUUACGAGUGUGAUGAGUGUGGCAAGCCAUUCAGCCGGGUCUCUAAUCUCAUUAAGCACCACCGGGUCCACACAGGAGAGAGACCCUAUAAGUGCAGUGACUGCGGGAAGGCCUUCAGCCAGAGUUCAAGCCUCAUUCAACAUCGGCGCAUUCACACUGGAGAGAAGCCCCAUGUGUGUAAUGUGUGUGGAAAAGCCUUUAGUUACAGCUCUGUGCUCAGAAAGCACCAGAUAAUCCAUACGGGAGAGAAGCCCUAUGAAUGUGGCGUGUGCGGGAAGGCAUUCAGCCACAGCUCGGCCCUCAUUCAGCACCAGGGUGUGCACACUGGUGACAAGCCCUACGAGUGUCGUGAAUGUGGGAAGACAUUCGGCCGCAGCUCCAACCUCAUCCUUCACCAGCGAGUUCACACCGGAGAGAAGCCCUAUGAAUGUACCGAAUGUGGGAAAACCUUCAGCCAGAGCUCAACUCUCAUUCAGCAUCAGAGAAUCCACAAUGGAUUGAAACCCCAUGAGUGUAACCAGUGUGGGAAAGCUUUCAACAGAAGCUCAAACCUCAUCCACCACCAGAAAGUUCACACUGGAGAGAAGCCGUAUACGUGCGUUGAGUGUGGUAAGGGCUUCAGCCAGAGCUCCCACCUCAUUCAGCAUCAGAUCAUCCACACUGGUGAGCGGCCCUACAAGUGCAGUGAGUGUGGGAAAUCCUUUAGCCAGCGCUCGGUCCUUAUCCAGCACCAGAGGAUUCACACUGGAGAGAAGCCCUACGACUGCACUGCAUGUGGGAAAGCCUUCAGUCAGCGGUCAAAGUUGGUCAAGCACCAGCUGACCCACACCAGGGAGGCUCUGCUUUGACUCAGGUCCACUCAGGGCUGCUGCACACUUACACCUGCGGCUGUUCCAGCCUCCAGCUCUGCCUUGCGGUCAGCCCACAGAGGCCAGCUCUCUCCUUGCUCUUCCUGUUCUCCCUACACACGCCCAGGCUUGGAGUUUAUUCCCAGAUCCAUUCAUCACCAGACAUUUAUGAAGCACCUGCUAGGUGCCCCUGGAAGGAAAAACACCUGAGUCCAUGUGACAGCCUGAGAAGUUCUUGUCUCUGGUGUGCAGUCUGGGCACCUCCACUAGGCCCGAUGGACGGAGCCUGUCCGUGCCGCAGGGGCCACUCCAAGGUAAUAGGGAGUCCCUUGUGUUCUUUUGUCAUUUUGGUGCAGUAAUUAUUUUUUAUCAAAAGACGCUUAAUUACUUAAAUUAGUAGUUUAUAUGGUAGGGAUACAUAGAAAGAGACAUUGGGGCGAGGAGAAAGGGGAAAAUGGGAAGAGGGAGACAGGGAGGAACCAUCACAAAGCCCAGCCUGGAUUUGGGAUUGAACACUGCCCCCCAAAUAUCUUAAAACACCCAUCCCUUCCUUGUGGUUGACCAUGGACCCCAGCCCACCUGCCCUAGUGCUGUUCUCAUCUUAGGAGGGUAUUGUUCAAAAGGGCAGAAAUUGUGGCUCCUCAUUUCCUAAACAGGACAUCCCUGAUAAGUGCCAGACCCACGGGUCAGCACAAUUGAUCGGGCAGGCUUCUUAGCACCAGUGGCCUGACGAACAAAUGGCCCCAUCUGCACAUUUUAAUAAACUGUGACAUCACCUAAGAGUUGCCCCCUUUGGGGUAAGGGAUGCUGGGAGUCUCUAGCCUUGCAGAUGCCCCAAAAUAUCACGGUCACAGAUGUCUGUACCUCUGCUCAGGCCAUGGUACUAGGCCUACCAACGACACCCUCAUCCCCUCUGGAGCUCCAGACGUCACUGACAGUGGCCAGGGCUCUCCUGUCUCCCCUCAGAACACACGAUGCUGGGCCCUGAAUCACCAGCCGCAGGAUGCAUGCUACACGGUGCCAUGGGCUUAAACAAGUCCUAAUUCAAUUAGGUGAAACGUGGCGUAUUUCAGUCAGCAGAGAUCAGGGGGGGAGUGUACUGAGCAGCCAGACUACCUUUUCUCAUGUUGGCUGACAACCUUGAAGUCUCCUCCUCCUCCGUGCCCCAUCGGGACCAGCUGAUAAGGAAGCUGGGUGCUCCUUCCUUGAUGCCAGAGGGGAGUUCAAACCACACAAACCCUCAUCUAUGCUUGGGAGCCCUCCCGCCAGCCCAGCAGCUCACAGUCAACACCCAGGCCAGGACCCUUUCCUUGCUCUUAAGCCACUUUGCACCUGUGCCAGUCCUGCCCUUCCUGCCUCAGAGACCUCCAUGAUGUGAGUAAUAAACUUCACACCUUCAGGAAAAAUAGAAGCCGUUCU